rnacentral:rRNA from 1 species
UGGGGAAUAUUGCACAAUGGGGGGGAACCCUGAUGCAGCGACGCCGCGUGAGCGAAGAAGUAUUUCGGUAUGUAAAGCUCUAUCAGCAGGGAAGAAAAUGACGGUACCUGACUAAGAAGCCCCGGCUAACUACGUGCC